rnacentral:rRNA from 1 species
AAAUUGAAGAGUUUGAUCAUGGCUCAGAUUGAACGCUGGCGGCAGGCCUAACACAUGCAAGUCGAGCGGUAGCACAGAGAGCUUGCUCUCGGGUGACGAGCGGCGGACGGGUGAGUAAUGUCUGGGAAACUGCCUGAUGGAGGGGGAUAACUACUGGAAACGGUAGCUAAUACCGCAUAACGUCGCAAGACCAAAGUGGGGGACCUUCGGGCCUCAUGCCAUCAGAUGUGCCCAGAUGGGAUUAGCUAGUAGGUGGGGUAACGGCUCACCUAGGCGACGAUCCCUAGCUGGUCUGAGAGGAUGACCAGCCACACUGGAACUGAGACACGGUCCAGACUCCUACGGGAGGCAGCAGUGGGGAAUAUUGCACAAUGGGCGCAAGCCUGAUGCAGCCAUGCCGCGUGUGUGAAGAAGGCCUUCGGGUUGUAAAGCACUUUCAGCGGGGAGGAAGGCGGUGAGGUUAAUAACCUCAUCGAUUGACGUUACCCGCAGAAGAAGCACCGGCUAACUCCGUGCCAGCAGCCGCGGUAAUACGGAGGGUGCAAGCGUUAAUCGGAAUUACUGGGCGUAAAGCGCACGCAGGCGGUCUGUCAAGUCGGAUGUGAAAUCCCCGGGCUUAACCUGGGAACUGCAUUCGAAACUGGCAGGCUAGAGUCUUGUAGAGGGGGGUAGAAUUCCAGGUGUAGCGGUGAAAUGCGUAGAGAUCUGAAGGAAUACCGGUGGCGAAGGCGGCCCCCUGGACAAAGACUGACGCUCAGGUGCGAAAGCGUGGGGAGCAAACAGGAUUAGAUACCCUGGUAGUCCACGCCGUAAACGAUGUCGAUUUGGAGGUUGUGCCCUUGAGGCGUGGCUUCCGGAGCUAACGCGUUAAAUCGACCGCCUGGGGAGUACGGCCGCAAGGUUAAAACUCAAAUGAAUUGACGGGGGCCCGCACAAGCGGUGGAGCAUGUGGUUUAAUUCGAUGCAACGCGAAGAACCUUACCUGGUCUUGACAUCCACAGAACUUUCCAGAGAUGGAUUGGUGCCUUCGGGAACUGUGAGACAGGUGCUGCAUGGCUGUCGUCAGCUCGUGUUGUGAAAUGUUGGGUUAAGUCCCGCAACGAGCGCAACCCUUAUCCUUUGUUGCCAGCGGUCCGGCCGGGAACUCAAAGGAGACUGCCAGUGAUAAACUGGAGGAAGGUGGGGAUGACGUCAAGUCAUCAUGGCCCUUACGACCAGGGCUACACACGUGCUACAAUGGCAUAUACAAAGAGAAGCGACCUCGCGAGAGCAAGCGGACCUCAUAAAGUAUGUCGUAGUCCGGAUUGGAGUCUGCAACUCGACUCCAUGAAGUCGGAAUCGCUAGUAAUCGUAGAUCAGAAUGCUACGGUGAAUACGUUCCCGGGCCUUGUACACACCGCCCGUCACACCAUGGGAGUGGGUUGCAAAAGAAGUAGGUAGCUUAACCUUCGGGAGGGCGCUUACCACUUUGUGAUUCAUGACUGGGGUGAAGUCGUAACAAGGUAACCGUAGGGGAACCUGCGGUUGGAUCACCUCCUUA